UACGAAGGGGGCUAGCGUUGCUCGGAAUCACUGGGCGUAAAGCGUGCGUAGACGGUUACAUAAGUCGGGUGUGAAAGCCCCGGGCUCAACCUGGGAAUUGCAUUCGAGACUGCGUAGCUAGGGUGCGGAAGAGGGAAGCGGAAUUUCCGGUGUAGCGGUGAAAUGCGUAGAUAUCGGAAGGAACACCAGUGGCGAAAGCGGCUUCCUGGUCCAGCACCGACGUUCAGGCACGAAAGCGUGGGGAGCAAACAGG
rnacentral:rRNA from 1 species